GGAAGCUGAUCCCCGAGGAAGGGCAGAGACAAGGCUGCCUGGUGGGUGAGCACCCACUGGAGCCACUCCACUCGCUGCGUACACCAGCCGAGCUCAGCAACUGGCAGCCCUGGCCCCACCCCCACAUCUGGCCUCUGAGCACCUGUGUCUCCUGGGCAUUUGGAGAAAUGAUCUGUGUCUGACGAGGGGCAGCUGCAUGGGACAGGGCCGCUUCCUGCCUGCCAGGCCUGCCCCCCACCCACCGGCCCUUGGAUGCAAGGGGACACCGAGGAGGGGCUGUGGCCCAGGAAGAGGCUGGUGAGGCGCAUGCCCACGGCGUUGACAGCUGUUUGUUCGGGAUGUGCCUUUCAGGGGGACACGGCAAGGGCUGCCAGACCACAGGGGCCCAGUGUGGGGGCGAAAGGCCUUGGGCAGCACCUGCCCCGUCUGCCCACUGCAGUUCAGACAGGCACGUCCUCUGGACUGGCAGGAGCCUAUGACAUCUCCCCUCGUACCUAGCAGGAGGGGACUGGGCAGGGUCCCCGGGGAGCCCUGGGCUGCAGGCUGCCCUCAGGCUGAGACCCACAACCCACCUGGCUUGUGGCCCCAGCUGUGACAAGGGACCCCUUCUCUGCCAGUCUCGAUCUGAGGGGCUGAGUGACUUUUCAGAGGCAAGUGGCCUUGUGGUCCCUGCUGGGAACCUUUUCUUCAGCCCUGCCCUCUGCCCUCUGCCCUGAAGGGUCAGCCCCCUGCAGCCUCCAAGACACUUUCGCUGCCCACAGCCCCGCUUCCAGCCGCCCCUCACGGCCCCCAGUGCUCGGUCCUUGCUGGCCUCCUCACACAGCACAAAAUGCCCCUCUGCGGUGCCACAGGACCU